rnacentral:misc_RNA from 1 species
GAUGAAGAACGCAGCGAAAUGCGAUAAGUAAUGUGAAUUGCAGAGUUCAGUGAAUCAUCGAAUCUUUGAACGCACAUUGCGCCCCCUGGUAUUUCGGGGGGCAUGCCUGUUCGAGCGUCAUUUCACCACUCAAGCCUCGCUUGGUAUUGGGCAACGCGGUCCGCCGCGUGCCUCAAAUCGACCGGCUGGGUCUUCUGUCCCCUAAGCGUUGUGGAAACUAUUCGCUAAAGGGUGUUCGGGAGGCUACGCCGUAAAACAACCCCAUUUCUAAGGUUGACCUCGGAUCAGGUAGGGAUACCCGCUGAACUUAAGCAUAUCAAUAAGCGGAGGA